UUCUAUAGUGUAAUGGUUAGCACUUCAGAUUCUGACUCUGACAAACUGAAUUCUAAACUCAGUAGGA
rnacentral:tRNA from 1 species